AUGUCUAUAUACAUCCGUAUGCAGUUUGUAGUGCAAUCUCUACCAAGACUUAUAUUUAGAAACGAAGGAAAAUUAACCAACAAAAAAAAAACCUACGAAAGAAAACUAGCGAAAAAAAACGUGUGGCAACGUGCGAACGAGCGAGCGAGGCCUUUGCCCUCGAGCGAGCCCACACCAGAUCCUUCGCCGUCGCCCUCGCACAUCAAGUCGCUGCCCUCGCCCUCGCCCUCGCAGCCGCCGCCGAUCCCCUCCCCCAUCUCCCUUCCUCAAAUGUCGUCGCCCGUCGCUGCCGCCCCGACACCUCCCGUCGCGGCCGCCCGCCGCUCCUCCUCUGCUGGCCUGAGCGAACGGAGCCAACCACCCGAAGGGAUCGAAGCGGCGGAGGAAGGGAGAGAUGGCGGCGGCGGCCGGGGGGAAGGAGACGAUGCGGGCACCACACAUCCUGAUCAAGCACAAGGGGUCACGGUGCAAGGCGUCCUGGAAGGACCCCUAGGGUCGGGUCAUCUCUGCCACCACGCCGCUCCCGUGCGCAUCGGCGAGCUCCACGACCAGAUCCUCGCCGGCCCACGCCUCCUUCGUUGA
rnacentral:rRNA from 1 species